GCCGGCAGCUAGCUCUCUGCAAUGCUAACAGGGUUGCCUACUGAAGCUAAGCAGGGCUGCGCCUGGUCAGUACUUUGAUGGGAGACCACAUGGGAAAGCUAGGUUGCUGCCGGAA
ensembl:rRNA 5S_rRNA 5S ribosomal RNA